rnacentral:sRNA from 1 species
UCUCUUUAUUUUUUUUCUCUCACAAUCUUCUUCAAUGCUCUCUUCUCUCUCUUUCUCUGAGCUUGUGCUGGGUUAUAUGACUGUAAAAUGUUACAGAUGACACAGUCUUUUCUUCACUUUUCUCUUUAUUUUUUUUUUCAAAAUACUUAUUUUUUCUUUUUUUUUUUAUCUGUCUCAUCUGUUUUUCUUCUGUUGUUAGAAGCACAGACAGUUCUCAGAUCAACUGAAAGAGUUAUUUCUCUUCAUUUACUAUAAAAUCUUUUAGACACAGCAGCAGCAGUUCUCUCAGAAAUCACACUAUAGCUUCAUCAUGAAUAAUCAUAUAUUAAGUC